AAGGGGUGGGAACAACAGGAUUAGAUACCUUGGUAGUCCACGCCGUAAACGAUGAGUGUAAGUGUUGGAGGGUUUCCGCCCUUCAGUGUGCAGCUAACGCAUUAAGCACUCCGCUGGGGAGUACGACCGCAAGGUUGAAACUCAAAGGAAUUGACGGGGGCCCGCACAAGCGGUGGAGCAUGUGGUUUAAUUCGAAGCAACGGAAGAACCUUACCAGGUCUUGACAUCCUUUGACCACUAUAGAGAUAGAGCUUCCCCUUCGGGGGCAAAGUGACAGGUGGUGCAUGGUUGUCGUCAGCUCGUGUCGUGAGAUGUUGGGUUAAGUCCUGCAACGAGCGCAACCCUUAUUGUUAGUUGCCAUCAUUUAGUUGGGCACUAUAGCAAGACUGCCGGUGACAAACCGGAGGAAGGUGGGGAUGACGUCAAAUCAUCAUGCCCCUUAUGACNUGGGCUACACACGUGCUACAAUGGGAAGUACAACGAGUCGCAAAGUCGCGAGGCUAAGCUAAUCUCUUAAAGCUUCUCUCAGUUCGGAUUGUAGGCUGCAACUCGCCUACAUGAAGCCGGAAUCGCUAGUAAUCGCGGAUCAGCACGCCGCGGUGAAUACGUUCCCGGGCCUUGUACACACCGCCUGUCACACCAAGAGAGUUUGUAACACCCGAAGUCGGUGAGGUAACCUUUUGGAGCCAGCCGCCUAAGGUGGGAUAGAUGAUUGGGGUGAAGUCGUAACAAGGUAGCCGUAUCGGAAGGUGUGGGUGGAUCACCUCCU
rnacentral:rRNA from 1 species